AUACGGAGGGUGCAAGCGUUAUUCGGAAUCACUGGGCGUAAAGGACGCGUAGGCGGGUUGGCAAGUCAGAUGUGAAAUCCUACAGCUUAACUGUAGAACUGCAUUUGAAACUGCUAACCUAGAGUAUGGGAGGGGGAGAUGGAAUUAGUGGUGUAGGGGUAAAAUCCGUAGAUAUCCCUAGGAAUACCGAAAGCGAAGGCGAUCUCCUGGAACAUAACUGACGCUAAGGCGUGAAAGCGUGGGGAGCAAACAGGAUUAGAAACCCGAGUAGUCC
rnacentral:rRNA from 1 species